rnacentral:rRNA from 1 species
GUGUGUAAGCGCAGCGAUGCGUUGAGCUAACCGGUACUAAUGAACCGUGAGGCUUAACCUUACAACGCCGAAGC